GAGUUUGAUCCUGGCUCAGAACGAACGCUGGCGGCAUGCCUAACACAUGCAAGUCGAACGGGAUCCAGGCUUCGGCCUGGUGAGAGUGGCGGACGGGUGAGUAACGCGUGGGAACCUGCCCAAUGGUCUGGGAUAACCGCGGGAAACUGCGGCUAAUACCGGAUAAGCCCGAGAGGGGAAAGAUUUAUCGCCGAUGGAGGGGCCGCGUCCGAUUAGGUAGUUGGUGGGUAAUGGGCCUACCAAGCCUACGAUCGGUAGCUGGUCUGAGAGGAUGAUCAGCCACACUGGGACUGAGAUACGGCCCAGACUCCUACGGGA
rnacentral:rRNA from 1 species